CAGCAGCCGCGGGAAUACGUAGGUCCCGAGCGUUGUCCGGAUUUAUUGGGCGUAAAGCGAGCGCAGGCGGUUAGAUAAGUCUGAAGUUAAAGGCUGUGGCUUAACCAUAGUACGCUUUGGAAACUGUUUAACUUGAGUGCAAGAGGGGAGAGUGGAAUUCCAUGUGUAGCGGUGAAAUGCGUAGGUAUAUGGAGGAACACCGGUGGCGAAAGCGGCUCUCUGGCUUGUAACUGACGCUGAGGCUCGAAAGCGUGGGGAGCAAACAGGAUUAGAUACCCCCGUAGUCCCUGUCUCUUAUACA
rnacentral:rRNA from 1 species